CUGUUCCAGACAGUUUACUUGUAAAUCUCCAUGAAAGCAAAGAGCUGAUAAAAGAUCUACUGAAUGCAUUCCCAAAUAUGUUCACCAAUACAAGAGAAACACACAGCGCGUUGGGCCCUGCUCUUCAGGCUGCAUUUAAACUGAUAUCUCCAACAGGAGGUUGGAUAUCUGUGUUUCAAACACAGUUACCAUCCUUGGGUGCAGGGCUUUUGCAUUCCAGAGACGAUCCCAAAGGUCAAGCACAAAGGUGGUCCAAAAUCUUGGUCCAGCUACGGAUUUUUCUAAGAAGCUGGCAUUGGACUGUUCAGGCCAACAGACUGCUAUGGAUUUAUUUCUCUUAAGUUCACAAUAUUCUGAUCUAGCUUCUCUUGCUUGCAUGUCCAAAUACUCUGCUGGGUGCAUCUAUUAAUAUCCAUCUUAUCAUCAUAGCCAUAAUCCUGCUCAGGCUGAAAAGUUGCA